rnacentral:rRNA from 1 species
CCUACGGGGGGCAGCAGUGGGGAAUAUUGCACAAUGGGGGAAACCCUGAUGCAGCGACGCCGCGUGAGUGAAGAAGUAAUUCGUUACGUAAACCUCUAUCAGCAGGGAAGAACAUGACGCUAUCUCUGUUAGAUGCCCCGGCUAACUCUGUGCCAGCAGCCGCGGUAAUACGUAGGGGUCAAGCGUUAUCCGGAUUUACUGGGUGUAAAGGGAGCGUAGACGGUGGGCCAAGUCUGAAGUGAAAUGCCGCAGCUUAACUGCGGAACUGCAUUGGAAACUGGCGAACUAGAGUGCGGGAGGGGUAAGCGGAAUUCCUAGUGUAGCGGUGAAAUGCGUAGAUAUUAGGAGGAACACCAGUGGCGAAGGCGGCUUACUGGACAGUAACUGACGUUGAGGCGCGAAAGCGUGGGGAGCAAACAGGAUUAGAUACCCGAGUAGUC